AACAAACGCUGGCGGCGUGCCUAAUACAUGCAAGUCGAACGGGGAAAGCUUUCGGGUGAGUACUAAUGGCGCACGGGUGAGUAACGCGUGAAUAAUCUGCCUUAGAUGGGGGGAUAACUAGUCGAAAGAUUAGCUAAUACCGCAUAAGACCACAAGAACUGCGGUUCAAGGGGUCAAAGGUUUUUCGCUCUAAGAUGAGUCCGCGUAAGAUUAGCUAGUUGGUAGGGUAACGGCCUAACAAGGCGACGAUCUUUAACGGGUCUGAGAGGAUGAUCAGUCACACUGGAACUGAGACACGGUCCAGCGUCUUACGGGAGGCAGCAGUAGGGAAUAUUGCACAAUGGAGGAAACUCUGAUGCAGCGACGCCGCGUGAGUGAUGAAGGCCUUCGGGUCGUAAAGCUCUGUCGCAGGGUAAUAACACAAUGAAGGUACCCUGUAAGAAAGGAUCGGCUAACUUCGUGCCAGCAGCCGCCGUAACAC
rnacentral:rRNA from 1 species